AACAACUUCAGCAACG
rnacentral:rRNA from 1 species